rnacentral:SRP_RNA from 1 species
GCUGGCAUGGUGGUGCAUGCCUGUAGUCCCAGCUACACAGGAGGCUGAGGUGGGAGGAUCACUUGAGCCCAGGAGUUCUGGGCUGUAGUGCGCUAUGCCAAUCAGGUGUCCGCACUAAGUUUGGCAUCAUAUGGUGACCUCCUGGGAGCGGGGGGUUACCAGGUUGCCUAAGGAGGGGUGAACCGGCCCAGGUUGGAAAUGGAGCAGGUCAAAACUCCCGUGCUGAUCAGUAGUGGGAUCACGCCUGUGAAUAGCCACUGCAUUCUAGCCUGGGCAACAUAGUGAGAUCCUGUCUCU